GAUGAACGCUAGCUACAGGCUUAACACAUGCAAGUCGAGGGACGGGCGCAAGGGUGAGUAAAAAGUAUCGAACCUUGCCUUUACUUGGGGAUAGACCUUCGAAAGAAAGAUUAAUACCCGAAUUUAAGGUUGGGGAUGCGUUCCAUUAGGUUGUUGGUGAGGUAACGGAUCACCAAGCCUUCGAUGGAUAGGGGUUCUGAGAGGAAGGUGCCCCACAUUGGAACGGAGACACGGUCCAAACUCCUACGGGAGGCAGCAGUGAGGAAUAGUGGUCAAUGGGCGUUAGCCUGAACCAGCCAAGUAGCGUGAAGGAUGAAGGCUUAUGGGUCGUAAACUUCUUUUAUAUAAGAAUAUGUAUUAUAUGAAUAAGGAUCGGCUAACUCCGUGCCAGCAGCCGCGGUAAUUC
rnacentral:rRNA from 1 species